CCUACGGGAGGCAGCAGUGGGGAAUAUUGCACAAUGGGGGAAACCCUGAUGCAGCGACGCCGCGUGAGUGAAGAAGUAAUUCGUUAUGUAAAGCUCUAUCAGCAGGGAAGAAAAUGACGGUACCUGAGUAAGAAGCCCCGGCUAACUACGUGCCAGCAGCCGCGGUAAUACGUAGGGGGCAAGCGUUAUCCGGAUUUGCUGGGUGUAAAGGGAGCGUAGACGGGAGUGCAAGUCUGGAGUGAAAGGCGGGGGCUCAACCCCCGGACUGCUCUGGAAACUGGACGGCUGGAGUGCGGGAGGGGCAGGCGGAAUUCCUGGUGUAGCGGUGAAAUGCGUAGAGAGCAGGAGGAACACCGGCGGCGAAGGCGGCCUGCUGGACUGCGACUGACGUUGAGGCUCGAAAGCGUGGGGAGCGAACAGGAUUAGAUACCCGGGUAGUC
rnacentral:rRNA from 1 species